CCCCUCCCCUCUUUCUGCUCUUAGUCAUCCCGCCUCCACUACUCUUUUCAACCCUAAUCCUUCUCCUCCUGCUAUUUCUUCCUCUACUGCCCCUACUGGACACAGAAGAUUUGGCAGGCAACAUAAUCCUCCCUCUUAUCUCAAUGACUAUGUUUGUCACUUACCUUCCUUUUCUGGCUCUUCCUCCUCUUCUUCUCCUUUGGAAUCUGAACCCCCUUAUUAUUCUCAAGCUGCAUCAGUCCUAGCAUGACAGGCUUCCAUGAGCAAGGAGUUUGAGGCUUUGGAUGAUGACCAUACUUGGGAUAUUGUUCCACUUCCUUCUGGUAAGAAGCCCAUAGGCUGCAAAUGAGUUUAUAAAAUUAAAUAUAAGGCUGAUGGUAGUGUUGAAAGAUACAAGGCUAGGCUUUUCAUUAGUGGUUACACUCAAAUUGAAGGUGUUGAUUUCACUGAAAUAUUUUUUCCUGUGGUCAAGAUGUCUACUGUUAAAUGCUUGAUUGCUGUGGCUUAAGAAACAUUGGAGUCUUUUUCAACUUGAUGUUAAUAAUGCCUUCUUGCAUGGUGACCUUGAUGAGGAGGUCUAUAUGAAGCUUCCUCCAGGUUUGUGUGUUUCUGCCUCUUCUGAUCCCUCUGUUUCUGCACCCAUUGUGUGCAAGUUACAAAAAUCCCUUUAUGGAUUGAGACAGGCUUCCAGGCAGUGGUAUGCCAAAUUGUCUCAUGCUCUAUACUCCAGAGGCUAUAUCCAUUCUAUGAAUGACUACUCUUUAUCUGUUAAGGGCCAGCCUGGGUGUCUUGUGGUUCUGGCUGUGUAUGUGGAUGACAUUAUUAUCACUAGAGAUGAUGUUGCUGAACUUUCUGCCCUGAAGAUCUUCCUGGAUGACCAAUUCAGAAUCAAAGACCUUGGGUCUUUACACUAUUUUCUGGGUAUUGAGGUGUCCACUGUUGCUGGUGGUGUGCUCCUUAAUCAGCACAAGUCUGUAUCUGACUUGCUGCAUCAGUUUGAUUGUGUGGAUGUCUCCCUUGUGGUUUGUCCUUUGGACCUCAAUACCAAAUUGCAUGCUGAUUCUGGUGUUUUCUUUUCUCCUGACCAUUACAGGAGCUUGAUUGGCAAGCUCCUCUUCUUGACACAUUCCAGACCUGACAUCUGUUUUGCUGUUCAACAUUAGAGUCAGUUUUUGAAGGCUCCCAGAAUACCUCACAUGUCUGUUGCUCUACAUGUUCUUAGGUAUCUUAAGGGUUCUAUGGAUUUGGGGCUCUUCUACUCUGACAGUCCUGAUUUUUCAGUCACUGCCUUUUCAGACAGUGACUGGGCAGCUUGCCCUGACACUCGCAGAUCUGUUACUGGUUUUUGUGUGAUUUUGGGUGACAGCUUGGUCAGUUGGAAGUCCAAGUAACAUAACAGCACAGCUUGCCUUGACACUCGUAGAUCUGUUACUGGUUUUUGUGUGAUUUUGGGUGACAGCCUGGUCAGUUGGAAGUCUAAGAAACAGCCAGUGGUCUCUCUAUCCUCUGCUGAGGCAAUAUACAGGGCACUCAGUAAGGUGGUUCCUGAAUUAUCUUGGAUUUCUCGUUUGCUCACUGAUCUUGGUGUUUCUAUUUCUAUUCUUUUUUCUGUUUAUUGUGACAAUCAGGCUGCCCUCCAUAUUGCUAAGAAUCCAGUUUUUCAUGAGCGGAUCAAGCAUAUUGAGGUUGAUUGUCAUUUUGUUCGUACCAAGCUCACUGAUGGUCUGAUUUCCCGUUCUCAUGUAUCUACUUCUCACCAGUUAGCUGAUGUUCUCACCAAGCCCCUGCCUGGCACUGUCCAUCAUCGUCUUUUGUUCAAGUUGAAGGUGGUAUCCCUCUCCAACUUGAGGGGGGGGUGUUGAGCUAAAAGACUACUUACCUUCUAAGCCUAAACACAUACAUUGAUAAUUGUUGUACUUUCAUUGUAUCAUUAUUGUAAAUUGUAUGUAUACAGCACAUUGGGCUACUAUUUUG
rnacentral:lncRNA from 1 species